rnacentral:rRNA from 1 species
UACAACGCACUAUCUGUUCAUAGUAGUUGUUGCUGUCAACAGCACACUGCUCACCAUCAACGCAGGUGACUACAUCUUCUACCUAGACUGGGCGUGGACGUCCCUCGUUGUGUUCUCGGUGACAGAGUCGUCCAUGCAUAACGUAGUCGCGAUAUACUGAUUCUUAAUCACACGUGUGAACGUCACUACAAACUAUAUCCCAACAUUUACUCAAUAAUCAACAUGGUUUGCAAGCGGCCGUUGAUUACUACUGGUCAGCCGCUAGCACUCUGGUGCGCGACAUGACGGUACAAGCACGCUGCCAUAAUUCUUGGCGGUGCGCUGGUAGGCCUAUCCUGCCCGCUGUUCAAUAUGGUCAACCUAUUGCUUGUAAGAAACCCGCUCGGGGUGGCAUUCAAGGAUCCGAGACCGACUCUGCCCGCGUCCAUGACGCCGAUAGAGCCUCAGAUAGGGAAGUUCUACAACUCGACUGUCGCCCUGGGUUCAGGUGCCUGUGCAGUACUAACGGUACCCAUCGCUGCGUUGGGUGCAAAACUAAACACGUGG